rnacentral:lncRNA from 1 species
AAAUGUGGUUCGAGAAUUAGGUCAGACACGUAGUGGGGGGGUUGGUGAAGAGUUUGUGAAUGCAAAUGACUGAAUGAAAAUGGAAAUUAAAUUAAACCGAACAUAAUUGAAAGCAUUAAAAUGCAUAGAAACCUUAACUGGACACUUCAAUAGAUAAAUAUCGAGACAUAAUUAAAGUGAUUAACAUUCAACACUCAAUUAAAUCUACCAAAAGAAAUUAAAAUUGCAAAAAAAACUUCUAAAUUAAAAUCUCUUUAGCCAUGACAUAUUAAAAGAAAAAUAAAAAUAAAAAUGUGCUUCACCAAAUUUAAUCACAAGCCGUGAGGUGUAUGCUGUUGCUGUCCAAACCGUUCCAGCUCCAUGUGCCUUCUUGCUUCCAAAAUCAAAUUGAACACCUAACUUCAAAUAAAAAGAAACAAUGUGCUGAAUCAACGCUGCACUCCUUCAAACCAAAUAAUUCUGGCCGUGACAGCAGCUAUAGGUCGUGACUCCCCUCUAAGUAAUCACCAUCCAUUCCAAAUUGAAAUAUGCUUUGCUAAAAGAAAUAAAAACAUGCGUUUCAAAAAAAUUAAAUUCCCAUCAGCCGUAACCUUUUCAUUCAAAGCAACUUCAAGAAAGCUAAAAUAAAAAUAAACAUUGUGGUGGNUGCUGAACGUCCAUCUCACAAUCCAGCCCCGUUCAAAAGCAAAAAGAAACCAAAGAAAUUAGUCACCUUUUAACCAAAUAAAAAAAAAAAUCAAAAGUUUUCUCACAUGAAUUCUCUUUCUCGGCAAAAGCAAUGAGCAGAAAACAAUUUUACUCAAUUUUGCAGCCAGCACCAUACACCUACCUAUUUCUACCUAAUCAUUCACUCUUCAUUCCAAAAUAAAUAAAAGAAAAGCUAGCCUCUCUAAAGCUACCCANCGUCACAUCAUAGAAUGAAUGAAAGUGUUCCUCAUUCAACUCCAAAAAAACCGGAUGCUGCACCCCUCUCCAACAAAGAUGAAUGCACCGUUUUUCAUUCUUGUAGGUCGUGAACAUUCAAAAGCUCAAUUCCAUUUAAUAAAAAAAAGGUAAAAGCAACAAUGAAAUGAAAGCUAAGAAAAAAGAAAAUCUAGCAGCUGAAUAAACAAUAGAACCGUGCAGCUAUAUUUCCAUAAUAAAAGAUCACCGCUUGCAAGUGAAAAGAAAAGAACAAGAAUUAAAAAUUUUCUCCAGCUGGACGCUACAUGAUGAAUGCAAGUUGUGUGUUUCUUCCAAAAUGAAAUUAACAUCUUUGUUAUGCGGUGGCAGCANCACCUUCAACCAGUAGCCAUGCUCACUGAAAAUUCCAUGAAAAACAUUCAAGGCCAAAGUUCAGAAAUCUGGAGUGUGUCCGUGUGUUCUUCCCCGUGACGGCUGGUUGAANAUUUUCUAGGAUCAUGUGUCCUAAAAGGGGUGGGGUCCACCCUAAAAAAAAUAAAACCCUAGGNUGCNAAGUGUCCUACUAAUUGGGCCCUCAUAUUUUUGCCNANAAUGGCCCAAAUAUGCACAAGUUUAAUUAAAAAUAUUCUAUACUACUAAGUUACAAUAUAAUUAAAUUUGAAAUGUNCAAGUAUAGAGUCUNAAAUUAUUUGAUAGCACUCCAAAUGUCCCAA